rnacentral:sRNA from 1 species
GCCGGGGGAUGUUUCAUUCAUUCGGCCGAGGCCAUCGAGCUACAGCUAUGGGCCAGGCUCGGGGCUGCAGGUGUUCGUCCUCGUGGCCCUUCCUGGCUGGCGAGGAGAAGAGCUGCCUAUGGGACAGAGCUGCGGUCCUGAGCUGCAGUAGCGCCUGGGAGGCACUACAGGGCAGCUGACACCCUAGCUGUACGCCAGAAGCGGCGGAUUUACGACAUUACCAAUGUUUUGGAAGGUAUCGGGCUAAUCGAGAAAAAGUCCAAGAACAGCAUCCAGUGGAAGGGUGUGGGGCCUGGCUGCAAUACCCGGGAGAUUGCUGACAAACUGAUUGAGCUCAAGGCAGAGAUCGAGGAGCUGCAGCAGCGGGAGCAAGAACUAGACCAGCACAAGGUGUGGGUGCAGCAGAGCAUCCGGAACGUCACAGAGGACGUGCAGAACAGCUGUUUGGCCUACGUCACUCAUGAGGACAUCUGCAGAUGCUUUGCUGGAGAUACCCUCUUGGCCAUCCGGGCCCCAUCAGGCACCAGCCUGGAGGUGCCCAUCCCAGAGGGUCUCAAUGGGCAGAAGAAGUACCAGAUUCACCUGAAGAGUGUGAGUGGUCCCAUUGAGGUUCUGCUGGUGAACAAGGAGGCAUGGAGCUCACCCCCUGUGGCUGUGCCUGUGCCACCACCUGAAGAUUUGCUCCAGAG